rnacentral:rRNA from 1 species
UAAACUCAAAGGAAUUGACGGGGGCCCGCACAAGCGGCGGAGCAUGCGGAUUAAUUCGAUGCAACGCGAAGAACCUUACCAAGGCUUGACAUAUACGAGAACGCUCUAGAAAUAGAGAACUCUUUGGACACUCGUAUACAGGUGGUGCAUGGUUGUCGUCAGCUCGUGUCGUGAGAUGUUGGGUUAAGUCCCGCAACGAGCGCAACCCUCGUCGUAUGUUGCCAGCACGUAAUGGUGGGAACUCAUAUGAGACUGCCGGGGUCAACUCGGAGGAAG